GACGAACGCUGGCGGCGUGCUUAACACAUGCAAGUCGAACGGAAAGGCCCUGCUUUUGUGGGGUGCUCGAGUGGCGAACGGGUGAGUAACACGUGAGUAACCUGCCCUUGACUUUGGGAUAACUUCAGGAAACUGGGGCUAAUACCGGAUAGGAGCUCCUGCUGCAUGGUGGGGGUUGGAAAGUUUCGGCGGUUGGGGAUGGGCUCGCGGCUUAUCAGCUUGUUGGUGGGGUAGUGGCUUACCAAGGCUUUGACGGGUAGCCGGCCUGAGAGGGUGAACGGCGACAUUGGGACUGAGAUACGGCCCAGACUCCUACGGGAGGCAGCAGUGGGGAAUAUUGCACAAUGGGCGGAAGCCUGAUGCAGCAACGCCGCGUGCGGGAUGACGGCCUUCGGGUUGUAAACCGCUUUCGCCUGUGACGAAGCGUGAGUGACGGUAAUGGGUAAAGAAGCACCGGCUAACUACGUG
rnacentral:rRNA from 1 species